GACGAACGCUGGCGGCGUGCCUAAUACAUGCAAGUCGAGCGGACCAAAGGGAGCUUGCUCCUGGAGGUUAGCGGCGAACGGGUGAGUAACACGUGGGCAACCUGCCUGUAAGACUGGGAUAACAUCGAGAAAUCGGUGCUAAUACCGGAUAAUAAAAAGAACUGCAUGGUUCUUUUUUGAAAGAUGGUUUCGGCUAUCACUUACAGAUGGGCCCGCGGCGCAUUAGCUAGUUGGUGAGGUAACGGCUCACCAAGGCGACGAUGCGUAGCCGACCUGAGAGGGUGAUCGGCCACACUGGGACUGAGACACGGCCCAGACUCCUACGGGAGGCAGCAGUAGGGAAUCUUCCGCAAUGGACGAAAGUCUGACGGAGCAACGCCGCGUGAGUGAUGAAGGUUUUCGGAUCGUAAAACUCUGUUGUUAGGGAAGAACAAAGUGCCGUUCGAAAGGGCGGCACCUUGACGGUACCUAACGAGAAAGCCACGGCUAACUACGUGCCAGCAGCCGCGGUAAAG
rnacentral:rRNA from 1 species